AGGAUUGAUGUAAGUAGGGAAAACUAAUUCAACGUCUGAAUUCUCGUAAUGGCUUAAAUCUUCAUUGAGAUCACCUCUCAGAGUUUGCAACUGGAAUAAAAGGCCAAGCGUUGCAGCACCACCUGGGUGAAAUAUAUAGGAAGGAACCCCAAAUUCAUCGGCUACAUCAAUCAAAGAGGUGCAAAGCAUGUCUAUGACGAUCCCACCAAGAUGAGACGAAACAGAAUUGGAUAUUUCAGCAAGAACCUCCCUCACACAACUUUUAUGGUUGUCAAUAAAUCGAAACAGAAUCGAAAGAAAAGAUGACAAUUGAGAAGAAGGCUCUUCUUUCAUGGGCUCAAGGUACCUUAUGUGCAAAUUCGGAGAUUCUAACAACGAAUUUGUGUAGCUACUGACUUUUGUAUCAUAGGGCAGCUUCAUAAUCAGGACGGUGAUCGAUAAUCGUUCAUCGCAUUCAAUGAGAAGCUUUGCUAGUUCAACACAUGAUACUAAGUGGCCAAUCCCUGGAAUAGGAACGAAAACCAGCUCUGCUGUUUUCAUUUCUUUCAUUUUCUUUGUUAACUUUAGCCAGUUGAUUGAAGACUGAAAUCCAACCUUCAUCUUUCUAUUUUCUAAAUAGUUUGCAUGCGCAUGCCACGUGUAUCUUAUCCGUUUACAUGAAAGGCAGAUGUGAUGCCUUUCACAAGUGAAUCGAACAAAAAUCAAAACUACCAUGUUUCCAGGAUUUUUACUUGAUAAAUUUAAAUUUACUGUCAAUAAAUUGCUUAGCAGUGUUGAAUUGUGAAAUUUUAUUAUCAGUAAUCAAGCUAAUCAUUAAAGUCAAUAUAAAGUAGUUUCUUUCUCAUUUUUAUAUUUAAUUAUAUUUAUUUAGGGUUAAAUGCACUUAAUUAACUCUCCUCAAUUUUAUCUGCAGUUGCACUUUAUGCAUUUGAACUCAUAAAAUAGGCAUUUUGUCCCCUUACUUGAUGUUUUAGAACAAAAGUACUCUAACCAUAUUAUGAAUUCAAGGGAUAAAGUGCGAUGCAAAGUAACAUUGUGAGAGUUUUAUAGCUAUUUAUAACUUUCCAAAGUUAUAGUGUCCUUCGUGUUAUUACAUUUCUUAUUACAUUCCUAUUUAAAGAUGGCAGCGGAGCAAAUUUGAAAUGGGAGGAGUACCCUUAACUGAUCCGUUCUCCAAAAACUCCCUAGCCCCCUCCCCAUGCCCACUAUCUCUCCCCCUUGCACCCUGCUAGCUCUGGGGUGUCCCUAUCUCGCACCUCCAGCAUUUUUAUUUUUUUUGCUUGAUUUUAAUUUUUUAUAUAUGUAAUACACUAAUAAUGAACUUGCUAAUAAUUGUUUUACAAUUUUUGCUCCAAAAUUCAACAAGAAAUAAAGUUUAAAAAUUAUUUUGAUCUUUUGAAUUUAUUUCUCUAUAUCUGAUUUUAUAUAAAAUCAAUCAAUUAUCGUACUUUUUUUUAUAUAUCUAUAAGCAACAUCAAAAUAGAAAAAAUAAACUAACGUAACAAAAUUAUUGGUUAAUGACAAUAAAUUAACUAGAAAUAUUGCAUUAAUUUAUUACACGAAAAAUCAUAUUAUUGAUUUUAAUAUUACAUGCAUAUAGUUUUAUUGUAUUGUAUAUUUUUACGUUCUACAUAUCUAAAUAUAUAAUAUUAAAUUACUAGCGGGGAGCAGGAUAGGGGUAUUUUUCCCGUCCUUCCGACCCAUUUAAAGCGGUAGGAGAAAGGUCUCCCCCGACCUUAUUGGCCAUGGAUAUCCGCCCUAUUGUCAUAUUGAAUCCUAUUUUUAAAUUUAUAAAAUCACAAUUAACAAUUGCUGAGAACCUCUGGUGAUGCACCGCAUCUGUAGUUGUUACUUGUUAGGAUCAAUUAGGGAUAAUUUCAAAAACCUCCCUUGAGGUUUUUAACAAUUUCAUUUAGCUUCUUUGAGCUUUUGAAAAUUACAUAUAUCUCCUUUGUCAUUUAAAAUGAUAAUACUACCUUAAAUGUUUUAAUGAAAUUUCCUUGUUUGGUAUGCUUAUACUUAGAAUUACUUUUAAAAUUAUUUUUUCAUUCUUUUUCCUUCUUAUUCAUUUUUUAAUUUUUUUGCCAAUAAAACUGUAGAACUACCACUAUUCCCUCUAGUUUCCACUGUAACCAAAUGUCAAAUUAGUGAUUUUUUUAUGAGUUAAUUUAUAUGUAAUCCAAUGAUUUUACUGAUAUUUUUUUCUAAUUUUUUGGUAUUAAAAUGAACAAUAAAUCAAAAAGAAAUGGCCCAAAAUUACUACUAAAUUAUGAUCAUCCCACUUCUCAAAAAAUUCAUAAACUCUAAAUGAAUUAUAACCACAUUUUCUUUUCUAUCUUCUAAAUCUAAAUCCAUAAUAGAAUACCAUCAAAAGUAUCCUAUCAUAGUGAUAAAAUUAUUAUUAUAGUUGUUUAUCAAAUAGUAGGUAUGGACAUGAAAAAUUUGGUACCAUUUCCUUAAUUAUACUAAAUAAUAUUAUAAUUGUAUACAGAAAUAAAUUAAAACUCAUUACACAAGCGCAUGUUUGGGUAUUCAUUUAAAAAUUUGACCAAGUAAAUAUUAUUUUAAGGUUUUGUUACUAGCACUAUCAAAUCAAGGGAAGUAGGUGUAAUUUUUCAAAAUCAGGGGAGCUCAAUGAAAUUGUUAGAAACCUCGAGGAGGUAUCUGAAAUUAUCCCUAUUAAUUAUUGGAGACUAGUGAUAGGUUAAAGAGGGAUAAUGUAAUUAUUCUCUUCAUUAGUUCUGAGGUUGAAGUAGUUAACUUGUAGAUUUGAUAGUAGGAAACAUUCGUAGAUGUUCUUGGUACUAUAGUUUUCUCUUAGAUGUUUAAAUAUAUUUGGAACUUUACAGUGAAAAUUUUUAUUAAAUUUUUAGAUUUGGGGUAUCUAUUAUUAUUCAUAUUUGUUUUACAUGCAUAUGUUUGUUGUUAGACAUGAUUUCUGUUACUAGUGUAGAUUUUAAUAUUUAAUGAAAUUUUGAAUUGUUGUAUAAAAAAAAAAUUAUGAAUCUAAUCGUUAGAACAACUUCUGCUAUACUGUUCACAAAAAUGUCCGUUCUUAAAAGCAUUGCAAAAAUUUUAUUGUGAUUUUCUCACUUUUAAAACAGUAAAAUCACGGCAAUGAGUUGUUUCCACUUUCUAGCCAUUGAAAUUGUGAUCUUCGGGAAAAUUCAACCACUCGAAGUCUGCAACAUAUCCAGAGAAAACCCACUUCAAAAUGCGGGGAUCCAAGAUAUAUUUUGGACUAUUAAUUUCAGACUCCUCGCUUGAGGUUUUUAAUAUAUUUUAUUGUCCUCCCUAAAGUUUUGAAAAUAUUAUUAACCUCCUUGAAACUCUAACUUUCUUGAAACCAUUCAACUCAAUUUAGAAAGAGACACAAUAAAAAAAUGAUUCCAGGAGAGAGAAAAUUUUGUAAUUUAACAAGUGCCCCUUAACUAUUGUUCACCACAAACAAGAUAAAAUAAGCCAAAUUACUUUUUUUUUUUUACUGUAUGCAUGAUCCAACUCAUUCUUUUCACUUUCUAGUCUAUUAUUAGCUAUAAUCAACAAGAAAUUUUCAUCAUCCGCUACUAAAAAAAUAAUAGCUUUCAAAGUUUAACAAAAGAAAACUCUUUUCUCUUAUCUUAAGAUGUUGUUAUUACCAGUGGCGGAGUCAGAAAAAAAUCUCAGUGGGAGCAAAAUAACACUAAAAUUUUUUAUCUGCUCUUUUUCUAGUUUUUUAAGAAAAAAAAAAUUCACCAACAAGUACAAAUGAUAUAUAUAUUCCAUGAAAAACAUAAAAAGACAAACUCAAAAUUAUUAAUGUAAUAAUAAUUUUAUUUCAAAAACAAACUAAACUAUUUACAAUUGUUCACGACGAGUUUUCAUAUUUUGAUAACGGUUUACGACUUUCUCAUUUUGAACUUCUCGAAGUAUAUUUUUCUCAAUAUAAGUAACUAAACAAUCAUUCAUCCAAGUGUCUCCCAUUUUAUUUCAUAACCAAUACUUUACUAUAUUCAUAGCUGAAAAAGCCCUUUCUACUGUAACUGUAGCAACAGGCAAAAUCAAAGCCAACUUUAAGAGCAUAUAAACCAAUGGAUACACAAUAUCUCUCUUAGUCUCCACCAACCUUUGAGCUAGAUCAGAGAUUUUUUUUAAAUCGAGAAAUUCCUUAGCUGAUUUCAAGUCAUUAAUAUAAGUACUCAAUUCAGUGUCAAGUGUAAGAAUAUCCAACUUAGAAUAUCCAAUUCAGUGUGGGACGGCAGAUGGGAUGUGCUUAUGAGCAAAGUUUAGUGCGGAUAGAUUUGUGGCUCUGUUGGGGGGAAAAUGAGAAACCAGAGGAGUAAUAAAUGAUGGAGGAAAGGGAAAUUGGAAAGUGGGGACAAAGAAAGUAAAUAAUGGAUUAAGAAAGAGAGACCGUCGGUAGUGGGGGGAAAAUUGGGGACAGAGGAGGAAAGAAAUUUUGGAGAGUGGGAACACACUCAAAAUUACGUUAAAAUUGUAUAAAUGUUAUUAGAAUUUAUGGGGCAGUGGGGCCCGGACCUUAAAUUCGCCCGGAGGAAUUAGACCCGCCUUCAAGCCUCUCAAACCCCUAGUUUUGACUUUUUAACCAGUACCUCUGUCCAAGCAAGCUUCUCAUGUCUUACUCCUAUUAUUUGUCAAGUAUAUCAAUUAAAAAAAGGGUGCCUAGUAUUUGGCACUCGUUUCAAUUAGGCGCCCUUUUCAAUGAUAAAUUGGUUAUGUUUUCACAUUUCAAAUUAUGACUAAUGCAAUGAACAAAUGACUUAAUUUUUUUCUAUGGACAAAACUAUGUAAAACCAACUAAGUUGUAAAGGUAGCAGAGUCAAUGAUACUGGAUCCCAAAUAACUAACAUGAAGGUAAGUAAUGUUUCUACAAUUUUAGAAGACAAUAUGAAAUGGUCAAAACCUCGAUGGCAGUUUCUAAAAGUAUCCCAAUAAUAUAAGGAAAAGGGAAUAUUGACCCAAAAAAAUCCUUUCCAAGUUGUGGCUUAUAUCACAUGAAAUACUUGUGUCACGGUUGCAUAACAUAGUUAUAUCACCGUCCAAUAGGCCCCGAUUGUAUCUCAACUUCUAGCAGAACUGGCUAUGCUCUAAUUUCUGCAGUUUCAUGGAAAAUUUGAGGUUAAUUAAUUACACUUUGCCCCUCUAAAUUGGGUCUUAGAAACACUUUCCCCUCCCAACUACUUUAAAUAUGUACACUUCAGCACCUACUAUGAUCAAUCAAAGAAUAGUUUAGAAAUUUCAAUGAUAAUGACAUGACAUUAAAGGCCACCGACAAUGGCUGUAUGAACAAUAUGUUACCCUUUGCAUGAGUACCCUUUACACCGACAAUGCUGAAGUGACAUGUAUGCAAAGCGCCUCUCUCUCUAGGUGGAUGCAGCAAUAUAUGAUCAGAAGAUGCCGAGAGAAAAGUCUUGAAUAUUCGCAUAUGACCAAACCACCUUAAGCUAUGCUUUCUCUUUUUUCAGAUACCGUUUCAAUACGCAAACCUACCUUUAUAAUGAGAAUAAAUGUCAAUGCAUGCGACAGAUUGAUGCAUAGAUUUUAGAGUUUCAUGCAGUGGUGGAGCUAGGAUAACCUUCCAGUGAGGGCACAAAUGAUAGAAAAAUAUUUUAAUUUUGCCCUUCUAUGAAUUGGAAUAUGAUUUUCUAUCCAUAAUCUGAUCAUUGGCAAAAGAGUUGAGCAACAGUUGGAUAAUUUACCCAAACAAGUUACAAUUGUGUGAAAUAUAAGCAAUAUCAAAUAAGUUCAUUGUUACUUCUCUAAUGCAAGCCACUUCAUUUUAAACUUUUUGUAUCUUCUUUAUCUAUAUUUUCCUAAUUUGGAUCAUGCUUCUUGGCUAUUGUAUGGUUGUAAAUCAAUUUCAUUCCAAUGAUGUUUUGAACAUGAUGCCUACAAAGUUUAAAGCCGCAUAUCAGAAUUUGCCUUAUUUUAGUCAAUUUUGAGGACUUUUUAAUGUUCAUUGAGAAAAGUAUUGGGUUAAUUAGGUGUACCUCCCAUGAGAUUUGUUCAUAUUAUGAAACAAACCUUGUAAUUUGACGAAAUAAUGAUUAUCCCCCAUUAGUAACAGUUCCUUAACUCCGUUAAUGGAUGUCAUGAAAUAAAGAAUAGUCUUUGUUCAAAAGAUUUCAAAAAUAAAAUUCUAAAUCCAUAAAAAAUAUUUAUUUUACCAAAAAUAGAAAAAGCAAGUGAAGGUGUGACAAUAGUACAAGAUAAAACAAAGAUUAAAAAAAUUAGAGAAGGAAAGAUUGAGAAAAAAAAAGAAAAAUAAGAAUAAAGAAACUAAGUACUAGUGGUCAAACAACUACUCUUAGAGUAGUUGGUCACCAGGAGAGUUUUAAAACUCAUCUUGGGUGUAGGAUAAAAUUCCCCCUUUGGGUCCCCACUUCCCCCUCCCCCUUCUUUUGACCCCUUUGGAUCCCCCACUUCCCCACUCCCCCUCUCCAAAAAAUUUCACCAGUUAGAUAGUGGUCCAGUCUCCCCCGAAUUCUCCCUAUAACUUCUUUGGAUCCCCCUUUCCCCUCUCCCUAGCAGUCUCCUCCCCUCUUCCACCUCCCCCUCCCUUUGAUUUAUUUGGAUUCCCUUCCCCUAACAUAGAGUAAAAGCAAAUAUAGAAUAAAAUCUAUCAUGUGCCAAAAAAAAAAAAAGAAUACUAGUGAUCAAAACCAUAGAUCGGGUCUCUCCUUAUUUCCCUCCCCCUCCCCCCCCCAACAAGUCAAAACCAAACAUUCAACAAAAAUUUAUUUAAACAACCACACAAAUUUGGAGAACAAGCUCAUAUAUGAAUCAAUCUAGUAAUUAUCCAAGAACAAGUUAUGUCUCCAUACUAGAGGUGUCAAAAUGGGUAACUUGGGCGGGUUUGGGUUGGAUAAAAUGGGUAAUGGGUAUAAGUGAGUCAACCCAUUUAUACCCAUUUAAUUAGAUAGGUAUAAAUGGGUAAAUCAAAAAAUGAAUUGGGUAACCCGAUUACCCAUUUAUAACCCAUUUAUUUUAAUUUUUUGUAUACUCAUUUAAAUUUAUUUUUUCAAACUAAAUUAUCAAUUUAUACCACUCUUUGUACCCACCAUUAAUUUUAAAUAUUUGUUUAUAAUGUUCAAUAAGCCUAAUUACCAAUUUUUUUCCAUUUAUACUCUAUGUCGCAAAAUUACAUAUUAUUUAAUAAUUGAAUAAUAAGAAUAAAAAAAAUUUGAACUAAGUACUAUAAAAGUUAAUAUAAAAACUUAAUCCAAAAAUUUUGAACCCCUAAAAUUUUUUUCAUAUAUAAAUUUAAAAUUUCAUUUUAGAAAGAUAAGAAAAGAGGCUAAAACUUAUCAUAAAUUGGUAAUGCUAAAAAGUGAGCAAGUUAACAAAUUAAGAGAAAAUAAAAUAAUAAGAUAAAACCAACAAAUAAUAAUAAUAGUGAAACAAAAGUAGUUAACAUCAUGACAAAAUGAAAUAUUUGAAAAAAAAAAGGGUGGGGGAAGAGAAGAGACUUGGGGGAAGAGAAUUCUAAAUGGAUUAAUUGGCUUUGAUGGAUUACCCAAUAAUACCCAUUUAAUAAAUGGGUAUUAUUGGAUAACCCGUUUAUAUCCAUAUACAAAAAUUUAAGAUACCCAUACCCACCUAUUCAUGGACGGGUAUGGGUAAAUUUAGUUAAAUGGGUUGGUUUGCCACCUAUACUCCAUACCAUUGCCGCCGCCAACUCUGUUGUCAAUCGCCACUGCCUCCAUUGCUUUUUUCAUAUUUCCUCGCUAUCCCUUUUUCUCUGUUUCAAACACACACCGACAAUGAUGAACAGGCCUUGUAACAAUUUGUUUUUGGGAUUUAAUAGCCCAUGAAAUUGGGAAAUUACCCUUCUAUGAAUUGGAAUAUGAUUUUCUAUCCAUAAUCUGAUCUACCCAUAUUUGUUAAUGGGUGAUUUUCGUUGAGUCCAUUUAUGAUUGAAUAUGAGCUAUUGCAUUCAGUGUGUGUUUCUAAUAUUUCUAGGAGUUGUCCGAAGACUUUGGAAGAAUUCAGUUUCGAUUUAAGCACGUUUUUACCCACAUUUUGUGUGUUUUUUUUUAUAUCAAGUUUAUUGAAAUAUUGAAACUUUAAGGCUCAAACCUUUAAAAAAAAAAAACUUUAAAACUGACAUUGGCAAUUGGAGCGGGAUGCUUCAACUCUGGCGUCUUGUUGGGACAAGUCACGGUUUUAGUAUCUUACUGUAUACUGUAUACGGGGAAGGAUGAAGAAAGAUAAGUAGUAACGUACAAAUUAUGGUUUUAGUACUAUUUGAUUGCAUAAGGGGAAGGAAGAAGAAAGAUAACUGGUAACAGAUUUUUGAUGGGCAUUCUCGGAGUUUUGUCAUAUAUUUGCCGUGACAUUACAGCCAGUUUGUAAAUCAACGUUAGUUGACUGACACAGCCACACAGGGAUGUUUUUGUUAUGGAGCUUUGAGUUUGAGGGACCUUUUCAUAGUUUUGUUAAAAAUGAGGGGCUGGUUUGUUAUUUGAUCAAACCAUAGGGGAAGUAAAUGUAAUUAACCCUAAAAUUUUAGGAAAAAGGGGAAUAAAACUACAAGGAAAAGGAAAAUCGUAUCAGGUAAGAGCCAGCAAGGAAUACAGAGCACAUUACAAGAAACAAAGAACCAUAUGCAAUUAUAGAUGAUCAGAAUAGCCAAAAAGCAAGUACAAAAGGAAAAACAGAUGGAUAAAGGAACGAGACUCCAUUAACUGAUUAAUUCUCACUGACUCUCAAAACAGAAUUGAUAAUAGCAGAUUUCAUGAUUGUAGUAGUAGUUGAUAUCCAGCUAUUGAAUUUAUGAAAAACAAGGGAUCAUGUAAUUCAUUAUCACUAUUCAAUUCUGACAUACUAUUCAAUCAUGGAAUGUUAUCUAACACAUCUUCAAGAAAACGCCUCAAGGAAGAAAAGGAUGAUCCUCCUUCAUUAGGAGCCAACCUGCUCUUCUCUUUCAUUUCCUUCACCUUCUCUCUGAUUUCAUUCUCAGGAUCCAUCAGAUGUUUAAUCCCUCUUUCAAUCACAUCUGCACUCAAAAUCUCACUACUCACACCCAGUACGAAAUCCCUUUUGAAAUCUAUUUUGAUCUCCACUGCCAUUGCCAAGUCUUUCACCAUUAGGAAUGCAUCCUGCUGCUGCUCUGCAUAAAGCGGCCAAGUUGCCACUGGCACACCGCACCAAACGCUUUCCAAUAUUGAGUUCCAACCACAGUGAGAAACAAAGCCCCCCACAGCAGGAUGGGAUAGAGCUGCCGCCUGUGGUGCCCAUCCAAUAACUUUUCCAACAGCUGCAGUUCGCUGCAAGAACCCUUCUGGCAUGACUUCAUCCAGGUUCUCAUACUCACUUGGAAACUCAAAAUUUUCUUUGGGUGAAGGCCUUCUCAAUGACCAGAGGAAUCGAUAUCCACUGCGCUCGAGUGCAUAGGCAAUUUCCUUCACUUGGUCACCAUCAAAACUACCUGCACUACCAAAGCAAAGGAACACAACAGAACAUUCUGGCUGAAGAUCUAGCCAUUUCAUAAUCAUCUCAGUUUCUUGAUUUUGACUAUUGCUUCCCUUCAGAUUCAAUACAGGCCCUACUGCAUAUACUGGUGGGAUGGUUUUAUCAUUGCUCAAGGCGUGAAUCGCAUGGGAUUCUAACUCAAGGAAAGUGUUAAUUAUGAUUCCCUUGGUCUUCCUGUAUCUUUGUGCCUGAUCGAGGAACAUGUCGACACCUCCAUCCUUCUCAAACAAUGCAGAUGACAAAAGUUUAGCUGGAAUAGGAUUGAUGUAAGUAGGCAAAGCUAAUUCAACGUCUGAAUUCUCGUAAUGGCUCACAUCUUCAUUGAGAUCAUCUCUCAGACUUUGCAACAGGAAUAAAACGCCAAGCGUUGCAGCACCGCCUGGGUAAAAUAUAUAGGAAGGAACCCCAAAUUCAUUGGCUACAUCGAUCAAAGAGGUGCAAAACAUGUCUAUGACGAUCCCACCAAGAUGCGACGAAACAGAAUUGGAUAUUUCAGCAAGAACCUCCCUCACACAACUUUUAUGGUUGUCGAUAAAUCGAAAGAAAAUCGAAAGAAAAGAUGACAAUUGAGAAGAAGGCUCUUCUUUCAUGAGCUCAAGGUACCUUAUGUGCAAAUUCGGAGUUUCUACCAACGAAUUUGUGUAGCUACUGACUUUUGGAUCAAAGGGCUGCUUCAUAAUCAGGACGGUGAUCGAUAAUCGUUCAUCACAUUCAACGAGAAGCUUUGCUAGUUCAACACAUGAUACUAAGUGGCCAAUCCCUGGUACAGUAACGAAAACCAGCUCUGCUUUAUUCAUUUCUUUCGUUUUCUCUGCUAACGAAAACGGCAGAUGGGAUGUGCUUAUGAGCAAAGUUCGGUGUGGAUAGAUUUGUGGCUCUGUUGGGGGAAAAUGGGAAACCAGAUGAGUAAUAAAUGAUGGAGAAAAGGGAAAUUGGAAAGUGGCGAUAAAGGAAGCAAAUGAAGAGAAAAUUGGGGACAGAGGAGGAAAGGAAAUUUGGAGAGUGGAGACACACUCAAAAUUACGUUAAAAUUAUAUAAAUAUUAUAAGAAUUUAAGGAGACAGUGGGGCCCGACGGCCGGUGCCCCCAAUGCCCCCACCUUAAAUCCGUCGCUGGUUAUUACCACAAUUUUGAGAGGAAUUAGACCCCGCCUUCAAGCCUCUCAAACCCCUAGUUUUGACUUUUUAACCAGUAUCUCUGUCCAAGCAAGCUUCUCAUGUCUUAGUCCUAUUAUUUGUCAAGCAUAUCAAUUAAAAAAAAGGGUGCCUAGUAUUUGGCACUCGUUUCAAUUAGGCGCCCUUUUCAAUGAUAAAUUGGUUAUGUUUUCACAUUUUAAAUUAUGACUAAUGCAAUGAACAAAUGACUUAAUUUUUUGGGAUAAUUGCAGAAACCUCCCCUGAGGUUUUUGAUAUUUGCACUGACCUCCCCUGUGGUUUGAAAAAUUACACUGACCUCCCCUGAGGUUACUAAUUCUUUGCAAAUUUAGUCCAAACGAUUAAAAUAUUAUUUUAGGGAGUGAAAUUAGAAAUUUGUACCAGAUUUGCCCUUUGUGCUACAUAUCCAAUGAAUGACAAAGUACUAUAAAUCAAUUAACAAUUAAUAAAUUUUAAGGAGUAUAAUUUAUGGACAAACGUGCAUUACUCAUUUAAAAGUACCAACUCUUUACGAAUAUUUUACUUUCAAAUAUUUAAUUUAUGAUAGAUAUAUCAAUAUUUGUAAGUAAAAUUAAAAAAAUGUUAUAGUAAUAUUCUUGCAAAAAAGAAAUCGAUAGGUUAUUUAUUUAAUAUAAAUUAAAUAUUCUUUUAAAAAAAUAAAUGGCCCAUAAAGUAUUAAUUUUUUAUGGCUUUCAUCCAUUACACGAGUAAAGUAUUCGCUUUUUAUGUGCAUUUUAUUCUGAAUCAUUUAAUUUAUAUUAAAUACAUAAAUAUUUGUAACUAAAAUUGAAAAAGUGUUAUAUUAAUAUUUUUACAGAAGAGAGAUUGGUAGGUUUUGUAUUUAAAAAAAAUUAAAUAUUUGAAAGUAAAUACAAAUCUGUAUUUGAGCGUAAAUAUUUGUAUUAAAUUAAAUAUUUGAAAGUAAAAUACCCUUAAAGAACCGGUACUUAAAAUAGUUAGCGGCUCUUUAUAGGCAAACACGCAUUACUCAUUUAAAGUACCAGCAUUUUACGGUUCUAUAUGUGUUGUUUUUCAACCCACUAUACAUUUUUAUCCUUUCUUACCAAUUAUCAAGGUAAUUUCUUUAUCUCAGACCUAUUAUCAUACCGUCUGAAUUUUUUCCCUUCAUGCUUUUUGUCCCUCCUUUAUACAUAUUUGCUUUUAGUAUUUGUCUUUCCUUCUAGCACUGCUGUUUAUGUUUCAUUUCUUUUUCCUUCUGUAAAAACCACCCGCUCAGUACCCGUCUUUGUGUUCCUUGCUCUUCAUGUUCUUUUUGCUCCUCCGCCUGACGUGACUUCCAUCUGGGUACUGUUAUAGUUCCAGCAAUGAAUAUUUUAUCUAUUGCUUUUUUUUUUUUUUUUUUUUUUUUUACGUAUGCUAGCCAUUUGUUUUUCGUUUCUGCCUGUCUUCUGUUUUUUCCCUCAUAAUUAUUUGUAUUCUUUUUCUCACUUCAUUGAACAUCCAGGUUUUAUUAAUUGCUGAAAGUGACCAAGAGGAAGCAGUUCUUUUCCACCAGCUCUUUCUAUUCUCACCGAAAGUUAGCAACACAAACCAGUUUCCUUCCACGCUAACUGGUAUGCAUAUAACUCUUACCUAUAACUCUUACAUCAUACGUUUCGUUUUUCUUGUCAGCUCAAUUGCCAAAAAUCAUGCCAUCAUCUUUUGCUUAUUAUUUCCUUGCUAUGCAUGUAAUCCUUAGCUAAUGUCUAUAAUUUUUGCCUAACUUAUAUGUGAAAAUGAUAUGACCAUCCUUCUGUUAGGUGGAUGCAGCAAUAUAUGAUCAGAAGAUGCCGAGAGAAAAGUCUUGAAUAUUCGCAUAUGACCAAACCACCUUAAGCUAUGUUUUUUCUUUUUUCAGAUACCGUUUCAAUACGCAAACCUACCAUUAUAAUGAGAAUAAAUGUCAAUGCAUGCGACAGAUUGAUGCAUAGAUUUUAGAGUUUCAUGCAGUGGUGGAGCUAGGAUAACUUUCCAGUGAGGGCACAAAUGAUAGAAAAAUAUUUUAAUUUUGCGAGAAGUACUUAAUACAAUAAUAAUAUUUACAAAUCAAAUAGCAUAUGCAUUCAAUAAAUAUGCAAAACAUGCAAGGAACCUCUUAAUGCGCUAUGACUGAAAAGACAAAAUCUUUUAGCAUAACAAAUCCAUUCGUAGGCUACGAAUCCUUAAAAUGUAGCUAGUAUUAGUACUGCAUUCAUAAUAAAGGGGAUGUAUUAUGUUUGUUAUUAUUAUUUUUAAAAUUUUUUCUUGUAAAUGAUGAGAUUUAAGAAAUCAGGAGGGAUUAGAGGGAUUAGAAGCCAGAGCCUCCUCUAAGUUCUAGGGGUAUUUUAUUUGUUAUUUAUUUUUUCACUGUCUAUAACUAUAGAAUUACUUGCAAAUAUAUGAGUUGAUUUUUACAGUUACUAGGAAUAAAAACAAAAUUUUUCUUAAACUUAAUACCUUAAAUGAACAAGUUCAUUUGGUCAAAGGGGGCUCGCUUACACAUGAGUGGGAUUAAAAAACAUUCUUUGAACUUUUUCAUAUACAAAACUAACUUGUUGCUUUGGCCAAUAGGGACACAUGGUAUUCGUAUGUACGCCCUAAAGAUUAGAAUUUUUUUUAUACAAUUUAAUUAUUUAUAUUUAUUGAAUGGCAUUUGUCUUAUUAAUUAUCUCGAUAUUUCAAUUAGUAUAAACGAUACAUACAUUAAUGUAAUAAUAAAGUAUCAUAAUUAUGACAAAUAUUAACUGGGAUUUAUUUUAAAGAUUUAUAUUUAUAGUAUUAAUAAAUGAGAAACUAUUAAUACAAAUAGAUUUUUUUUUUAUCUGCCAAUCAUAUUUGGCAUGUGGAUUUCGAUGCCUAUUUUAUUAAUAAUGAAAUUAGGAAAAAGUACAACGAAGGAGGGGGACAUAAAGCCUUUACCUCCUGAUAUAGAAUCUAAAAUUACAUAUACCUAUCUUAUCUAAACAAAAUAAAUCCUUAGCUAAUGAAGAAAAAUCAGAACUCAAUUUGUAAACGUCAAAUAUCCCAUGUUGAAUCCAAGAAGCUACCAAAGCUUCUGCAACAUCAUUUGCCUCACGGAAACAGUGGAACACAACGGAUCCCUCUUAACUGUUGCCCGAAUGUCUGCCGGAAUCUGAAACCUUCCUUCCAAUACCCCAACUAGAACCAGGGAGUCUAGUUCCAAACACACCUGUGAUUUUCCAUAUUUCUAGCAAAGCUGAAGACCAACUAAAAGUCUAAAAGAGCACGCGCCUCCGCUUGUAAAGAAUUUGUCUUGCCAAAGAAAUCUGAAAAUGCACCGAAUUCAAUCCUUACAGUUCCUCCUCCACUACCAUGGUUCGCUAUCACGGGUCACGGUCACAUUGCGGUCUCGAUUAUUCCACAUCCGUUGUGGCAUAUCGGUUGAAUAUCGGGUGAUACACACAUUAUAGCACAUGAAAGUUUCCAAAAAUUUUUAAAAAAUUACUAAAAUUAGAAAAAUACCAAAAAAGGCAUAAUUUAAAAAAUAUCUGAGUUGACUAGAAUAUAUCAACCGGUGUCAUGCAUCACAAAUUCAAAUCGGCCAAUAACGACCGAGUCAGAGCGAGUCAUCAUGGAUAUAGUAAUAUCCACAAUUCGGGGAUCGGUAUCGUAUCUGUCCCCUUCGUUCCGUUUACGACUAGGCCGAUAUGUACAUGGUUCGAAGACUCGGCCGAGUCGUCUCCGUCUCGGCCUAGUCCGAGACGAGACCGCAACGAAACGUUUCCCAGAUACGUGACAGGCCGAGACGUCACCGUGAAGGAUUGAAACAGCCGAAUCACACCGAUGCAUUGGUUAAUCCAAAUGGCAUGACUAAGAAUUCAUAAUUCCCAUACCUUGUCUUAAAUAGACUCUUAGGAAUAUCCCCUUCUUUGAUUUUCAAUUGAUGAUAUUCAGACCUCAAAUCAAUUUUAGAAAAUACCUUAGCACCUUUCAGUUGAUCAAAUAAAUCGUCAAUUCUUGGGAGUGGGUACUUAUUUUUUACCGUAAUUUUAUUUAAUUCUCGAUAAUCUAUAUACAGUCUCAUUCUCCCAUAUUUCUUUUUAACAAAAAGCACAGGUACUCCCCAAGGUGACACACUCGCCGAAUAAAUUUCUUAUCAAGUAAUUACUGAGGUUGGUCUUUUAACUCUUUUAAUUCUGUUGGGGCCAUUCAAUAGGGUGGCUUAGAAAUGGGUACUGCUUCAGGUACCAAAUUGAUCUCAAACUCUGUUUCCCUAUCAGGGUAUCCCAGGUAGUUCAUCAGGGAAAACAUUUGAAAACUCUUUAACUACUAGUAUAUUUUCUAAGGAAAUUCCAUUCUCUUUAGUGUCUACCACAUAGGCAGAUAACUUUCUGCACCUUUUCUUAAUGCCCUAAAUGCUUGUGAUGUAGUCAACAAUAACUGCCCAUGUAUUUUCUUCUUAUUUUCUAAAUUCCCUUGAAAAAAAAACUUGUCUUUAGUAGGAUCAUUAAAAAUCACUUUUUUCUCCUACAAUCAACAUAUGCAUGGUUUCUAUCUAACCAAUCCAUCCCUAAAAUGACAUCAAAGUCACUCAUAUUGAUUUCGACAAAAUUGGCUUGUAAUGUUCUACCCUCAAUUUCAACCAAACAAUUGUUGUAUUUUAGGUGAGACACAAGAACCCUAUCACCAGGAGCAAACAUACAAUAUGGAUUAUCUAACUAUUUAGGUUGCACGUUCAAGGUUUUAGCAAACUUUCUAGCCACAAAAGAAUGGGUAGCACCACAAGAAAAGAGCACAUAGGUAGGCGUAGAGUUUACCAGAAGUGUACUUGUGACAACGUCAUUAGAUCCUUCUUCCUCAAAGUCAGUCAUCGCAUGUACCCUUGCAUUGAUUCUUGGUAAAACUAACUAUGUAGGUGGUAUAUAUAAUACCAAUUAUGAGGUGGUAAAACUAACUAUGUAGGCGGCAAAUUGUAAGAAAGGAAAUAAAAGUAAAGAACAAUUUAGAUUAGGUUUUUGUAAGAAUAAGUGAGGUAGUCCUAGGGAUUAGAAUCCCUUGUUGCUUCAAGACAAUGAUUAACUUGGUUGUUUAGACCUUUAAAUUGCAACAUGUUAAGGAAGUUACUCCCUUAUUCACUUGGAUAUUGUUUUCACAAAUGUACAAGAAUACUCAUAUCAAGCCCUUAUCUAUAUGCAUGAUAAACUAACUUUGCAUAAGUUCAUGAAAUUCAAUGAGUUGUAGGCUUGUUUCCAUCUAAAUCCACCUCCUACUAACGUGAAAAUGUAAUAUAGAGUUCAUAUACUUUAAACUACACAUGUAAGGCAAGCUUAAGUGCACAAACACAUGCUUGAAUGAUUAUAGUUGGUGAUCAAUUUAACUACAAGUAUGAGAUGCAAAUAUAUGAACUAACAAGUUCACAAAUGACCAAAAAUCAACUUAAGUUAUCACAUAGUCAAGAAACUACAAGUUCAUCGCUUCCCUAGUAUGUAAGAGUUUAGCUAAGCAUGGAGUUGAAGCUCAUAAAACUCUUGACAUGAAACAUGAAAUAAACAAGAAAGUAAAGAGUAAAGUUUGAUGAAAUCUUAUUCAAUUGAAUGAAACAAGAUCUUCAAGCUUUACUUUUACACCCUUGAUCUUCAAUUUCACAACAACAUAGUUGUUUUUCUACAAGGAAAAGCUCACCUUUUGCUCUCACAACUUUGUGUUCUAUUUUCUAAGCUACAACUAUUUAGUUCUCUCUACCCUUCUCUCCUUUUCUAAUCAAUGAGAUACAAGGGAUAUUUAUAGAUGUUUUUGGAAGAGAAAAUGUUCUCAUAAUGUGGUCAUAAAGUUGUCCUUAACUUUUCCAAGACAAAUCUUGGUAGAUCUAGCCGUUUUUUUUUGCAAAAAAAUUGGUCAAAAAACUUUUGUGAAAUGUCCACAACUUGCUUUGCACCUGCAGUAGGUUUGCACUAUUUUGCUCAAUCUUCAAUAUUGUUCUAUUUUUGGACCAAAUUUUAACUGCAAUUUCCUCAAUGAUAGAAGCCAAAUCAGCUCUUUCACAAAACAUAAAAAUUGUAGUCCUUUGAGUUAUCUUUUGAAUGUAUCAAGAAUCAUCCCAUUUGGAUGUCGAUAGGUAGGUAAAUGACCAAAACAACCCUCACUAUUCAAUCCCCUGUUUCCGCUUUUGAAAGCAAAAAUGCAUGAUGGUAUUUCGACCUUUUGGCCAAGAAAAUGCAUGAACUGAAUUUUGAUAUCUUCACAAGAAUUGUAGAUCUAUGUAUUAGCUUCAUCAUGGUUUAAGAACCAUCUCAAUCUAAUAUUUGUAACUCAAGAUAUAGUCAAAAUACCAAAAGAUAUUAAAACAGCAAACUUUUCUUCUUCUUUUUUUGUACUUGGUUGCAUCUCAUCCUAUGAAAUUUUACACUUCAUGCUCAUUUUAAAUCACUUCAAAUCAUCAAUAAUCAUCCAAAUAUAGUUUCAAUUCACUCCAUUUUAUGAUUGAGCCAUUAGACCUACAAAAAUAUGAAAUUUUUACCACUUUAAUCCAUAGAAAUACAAUCUUUCACAAUUUGACCAUAAAAUGCAAAUUUCACUAGAAACCUAGUUAUUUAACUAUAAAAUGACUAAAACAUACCAAUACAUAAAUAAUAAAACACAUUUAAAACAUGCAAAAUACACACUUAUCAAUAUUCUUACACACAGCCAAGGUUAAUCAUUGAAAUCAUUAGUCCAAAUUAUUUUUGCUUGUGAAUCAUCAAAAUCAAGAAUUGAUCAACUUAAAUCUUCAAACCCGAUGAGAUUUUUGCCUUGUAUCCAAAAUACAUAUCCCAACAUUAGAGCCUUGGACCUCUCUGUCAACAUGCAUGAGAUUUUUAAGCAUUACACCACAUUUGAACUUGUUUUUAAAUUUAUGAUGGUGUUAUAUUAAAACUAUAUUAUCUAAUUAUGAGUACAAAUGUAGUACGGAAUAAAGUUUUACAUCAUUUUGUAUAAGAGUUGAUAUUUGAAAUUCUUUUAUCUUGAUUGUUUGGCCAUUCCAAGUUUAUAAAGUAGUCAACUUUCCCCACUUUAAUGGUCUGGGUAAAUAUGAUCGGUGGUGAAUGUUGAGGAAUAGUUGGAUCAUUUACCCAAACUAGUUACAAUUGUGCGAAACGUACUUAUUAUCAAAUAAGUCAAUUGUUACUUCUCUAAUGCAAGCCACUUCAUUCCAAACUUUUUGUGUUUUCCGUGGGGAAAUGGACUCUUCCUUGGCUCAAUUUAUUUUUCAUUCUUCUACAAUUGUUAGAUUAAUUUCGGUUUGCCGGAAGAUACCCCCGGCGAAUUUUUGCAAAUUAAAUACAGAUGCGAGUGUAGUAAAUGGUAGGGUGUCAGGUGGUGGUUUGGUGUGUGAUCACAGAGGUAACUUGGUUUUUGGUUUCUAUAAAGAGUUUGGGGAAGCUGAGGUGUUGGAGGCAGAGAUUCAUGCAUUAUUAUUUGGUCUUCAAUUGUGUAGUGAAAGAAAUGUCCAGAAUUUACAAGUUAAGGUUGAUUCUUCUUUGUUGUUUAUUUGAUUGUUUCGGGGCAGUGUCUAAAUGGCCAUUGUGCAAUUUUCUUCGUCAAAUUAGAGAGCUUUGGCAGUCACUUUCUGCGUCAGUUAGUCUUGUUAAAUUCCAUGGCGGCUAGGCUUGCCAUGCUUCAUCUUCAUUCUGAUUCGCUUUUUACUUCUAUUCAACAACUUCCUUCAGCGGUUAAGGCUAGCUUGAUUUUAGAUGGUAGGGAAUUUUUGCAUGUGCAGAAAUAAAUAAAUUGUAACUUGUACGGGAGGAAUACUCCUAAUUUUUGUUUUCAUAAAUGUUCUUAGGUCUUUUCAGGCCCUUCUUAGACUCUUUAUAUUUUUAUUUUAUGAUUAAUAAAAAUUAAAGGUUGGCAUCCCUCCCCUGUGUAUGGAAUUUGGCAAUAAAAAAAAUCAAAUAAGUUAAUUGUCGCUUCUCUAAUGCCAGUCACUUCAUUUCACACAAUUUUGUUUUCUUAAUCUAUAUUUUCCUAAUUUGGAUCACACUUCUUCCCUAUUAUAUGGUCGUAAAUUAAUUUAAUUCCAAUGAAGUUUUGAACAUGUUGCCUACAAAGUUGCAUAUGAGAAUUUGCCUUAUUUUAGUCAAUUUUGAGGACUUUCCGUGUUCAUUGAGUUCAAAUUUCACAAAAUGGAAAAAAAAAAAAAAAAGACGCAAGGAAAAAGAAAACUUAUCAGGUAAGAGCCUGCAAUGAUAAUACAUACAUUAGAAGAAAAACCGUACCACCUUCUCAAGCAUUAUAAGAGUAAACUAUGCUUUAAUUGAAUGCACCAAUUAUUGCAACUAGAACGGCACCCACCACAACUACGUGUGACUAAAUGCUGUGAAAGACAUACUCUGCUCUCAAUGCCGCAAUAAAGUCGUCACAAUUUGGUCCCGUCAUUUUUGGUUUAGCACUAUAAUACUCCCUAAACUUUUACCAACUCCGAAGUUUAAUUAAUAAGUUUAGCUAUUCACUGUUACUAUUAACUGAAUUGUAAGUCUACGUUGUAAGUCCAUUUCACAGUCACGGAUUGUAUUUGACCUACAAAGUACCACGUAGAAGAUUAGAAUAGCAAAAGAAAGUGUGAAAGGGAAAACAGAAGAAAGCCUAACAAGCAAAAACAGAAAAAAGCACUACUGAUUUUCAGAGUAAAAUUGGUUAUAGCAGAGUUAAUGGAUAUUAGUAAUGGUUGAUCUUCAGCUAUGGAUUUAAGAAAAAGAAGCAAUUAUGCAAUACAUUAUAACAAUUCAGAUCUGACAAACAAUUAUGGAAUACUAUCUAUUACAUCUUCAAGAAACAACUUCAAGGAAGCAUAGGAUGAUCCUCCUUCAUUAGGAGCCAACCUGCUCUUCUCCUUCAUUUCCUUCACCUUCUCUUUGAUUUCCUUCUCAGGAUCCAUCAGAUGUUUAAUCCCUCUUUCAAUCACAUCUGCACUCAAAAUCUCACUGCUCACACCCAGUACGAAAUCCCUUCUGAAAUCUAUUUUGAUCUCCACUGCCAUUGCCAAGUCCUUCACCAUUAGGAAUGCAUUCUGCUGCUGCUCUGCAUUAAGCGGCCAAGUUGCCACUGGCACACCGUACCAAACGCUUUCCAAUAUUGAGUUCCAACCACAGUGAGAAACAAAGCCCCCUACAGCAGGAUGGGAUAGAACUGCCGCCUGUGGUGCCCAUCCAAUAACUUUUCCAACGGCUGCAGUUCGCUGCAAGAACCCUUCUGGCAAGACUUCAUCCAGGUUCUCAUACUCACUUGGAAACUCAAAAUUUUCUUUAGGUGAAGGCCUUCUCAAUGACCAGAGGAAUCGAUAUCCACUGCGCUCGAGUGCAUAGGCAAUUUCCUUCACUUGGUCACCAUCAAAACUACCUCCACUACCAAAGCAAAGGAACACAACAGAACAUUCUGGCUGAAGAUCUAGCCAUUUCAUAAUGAUCUCAGUUUCUUGAUUUUGACUGUUGCCUCCCUUCAGAUUCAAUAGUGGCCCUACUGCAUAUACUGGUGGGAUGGUUUUAUCAUUGCUCAAGGCGUGAAUCGCAUGGCAUUCUAGCUCAAGGAAAGUGUUAAUUAUGAUUCCCUUGGCCUUCCUGUAUCCUUUUGCCUGAUCGAGGAGCAUGUCGCCACCUCCAUCCUUGUCAAAGAAUGGAGAUGACAAAAGUUUAGCUGGAACAGGAUUGAUGUAAGUAGGCAAAGCUAAUUCAACGUCUGAAUUCUCGUAAUGGCUCACAUCUUCAUUGAGAUCAUCUCUCAGACUUUGCAACUGGAAUAAAACGCCAAGCGUUGCAGCACCGCCUGGGCAAAAUAUGUAGGAAGGAACCCCAAAUUCAUUGGCUACAUCAAUCAAAGAGGUGCAAAACAUGUCUAUGACGAUCCCACCAAGAUGCGACGAAACAGAAUUGGAUAUUUCAGCAAGAACCUCCCUCACACAACUUUUAUGGUUGUCGAUAAAUCGAUACAGAAUCGAAAGAAAAGAUGACAAUUGAGAUGAAGGCUCUUCUUUGAUGAGCUCAAGGUACCUUAUGUGCAAAUUCGGAGUUUCUACCAACGAAUUUGUGUAGCUACUGACUUUUGUAUCAUAGGGCAGCUUCAUAAUCAGGACGGUGAUCGAUAAUCGUUCAUCGCAUUCAAUGAGAAGCUUUGCUAGUUCAACACAUGAUACUAAGUGGCCAAUCCCUGGAAUAGGAACGAAAACCAGCUCUGCUGUUUUCAUUUCUUUCAUUUUCUUUGUUAACUUUAGCCAGUUGAUUGAAGAUUGAAAUCCAACCUUCGUCUUUCUAUUUUCUAAAUAGUUUGCAUGCGCACGCCACGUGCAUCUUAUCUGUUUACAUUAAAAGCAGAUGUGAUGUCUUUCACUAGUGAAUCGAACAAAAAUCAAAACUACCAUGUUUCCAGGAUUUUUACUUGAUAAAUUUAAAUUUACUAUCAAUAAAUUGCUUAGCAGUGUUGAAUUGUGAAAUUUUAUUAUCAGUAAUCAAGCUAAUCAUUAAAGUCAAUAUAAAGUAGUUUCUUUCUCGUUUUUAUAUUUAAUUAUAUUUAUUUAGGGUUAAAUGCACUUAACUCUCCUCAAUUUUAUCUGCAGUUGCACUUUAUGCAAUUGAACUCAUAAAAUAGGCAUUUUGUCCCCUUACUUGAUGUUUUAGAACAAAAGUACUCUAACCAUAUUAUGAGUUCAAGGGAUAAAGUGCGAUGCAAAGUAACAUUGUGAGAGUUUUAUAGCUAUUUAUAACUUUCCAAAGUUAUAGUGUCCUUCAUGUUAUUACAUUUCUUAUUACAUUCCUAUUUAAAGAUGGCAGCGGAGCAAAUUUGAAAUGGGAGGAGUACCCUUAACUGAUCCGUUCUCCAAAAACUCCCUAGCCCCCUCCCCAUGCCCACUAUCUCUCCCCCUUGCACCCUGCUAGCUCUGGGGUGUCCCUAUCUCGCACCUCCAGCAUUUUUAUUUUUUUGCUUGAUUUUAAUUUUUUAUAUAUGUAAUACACUAAUAAUGAACUUGCUAAUAAUUGUUUUACAAUUUUUGCUCCAAAAUUCAACAUGAAAUAAAGUUUAAAAAUUAUUUUGAUCUUUUGAAUUUAUUUCUCUAUAUCUGAUUUUAUAUAAAAUCAGUCAAUUAUCGUACUUUUUUUUAUAUAUCUAUAAGCAACAUCAAAAUAGAAAAAAUAAACUAACGUAACAAAAUUAUUGUUUAAGGACAAUAAAUUAACUAGAAAUAUUGCAUUAAUUUAUUACACGAAAAAUCAUAUUAUUGAUUUUAAUAUUACAUACAUAUAGUUUUAUUGUAUUGUAUAUUUUUACGUUCUACAUAUCUAAAUAUAUAAUAUUAAAUUACUAGCGGGGAGCAGGAUAGGGGUAUUUUUCCCGUCCUUCCGACCCAUUUAAAGCGGUAGGAGAAAGGUCUCCCCCGACCUUAUUGGCCAUGGAUAUCCGCCCUAUUGUCAUAUUGAAUCCUAUUUUUAAAUUUAUAAAAUCACAAUUAACAAUUGCUGAGAACCUCUGGUGAUGCACCGCAUCUGUAGUUGUUACUUGUUAGGAUCAAUUAGGGAUAAUUUCAAAAACCUCCCUUGAGGUUUUUAACAAUUUCAUUUAGCUUCUUUGAGCUUUUGAAAAUUACAUAUAUCUCCUUUGUCAUUUAAAAUGAUAAUACUACCUUAAAUGUUUUAAUGAAAUUUCCUUGUUUGGUAUGCUUAUACUUAGAAUUACUUUUAAAAUUAUUUUUUCAUUCUUUUUCCUUCUUAUUCAUUUUUUAAUUUUUUUGCCAAUAAAACUGUAGAACUACCACUAUACCCUCUAGUUUCCACUGUAACCAAAUGUCAAAUUAGUGAUUUUUUAUGAGUUAAUUUAUAUGUAAUCCAAUGAUUUUACUGAUAUUUUUUUCUAAUUUUUUGGUAUUAAAAUGAACAAUAAAUAAAAAAGAAAUGGCCCAAAAUUACAACUAAAUUAUGAUUAUCCCACUUCUCAAAAAAUUCAUAAAUUCUAAAUGAAUUAUAACAACAUUUUCUUUUCUAUCUUCUAAAUCUAAAUCCAUAAUAGAAUACCAUCAAAAGUAUCCUAUCAUUGUGAUAAAAUUUUUAUUAUAGUUGUUUAUCAAAUAGUAGGUAUGGACAUGAAAAAUUUGGUACCUUUUCCUUAAUUAUACUAAAUAAUAUUAUAAUUGUAUACAGAAAUAAAUUAAAACUCAUUACACAAGCGCAUGUUUGGGUAUUCAUUUAAAAAUUUGACCAAGUAAAUAUUAUUUUAAGGUUUUGUUACUAGCACUAUCAAAUCAAGGGAAGUAGGUGUAAUUUUUCAAAAUCAGGGGAGCUCAAUGAAAUUGUUAGAAACCUCGAGGAGGUAUCUGAAAUUAUCCCUAUUAAUUAUUGGAGACUAGUUAUAGGUUAAAGAGGGAUAAUGUAAUUAUUCUCUUCAUUAGUUCUGAGGUUGAAGUAGUUAACUUGUCGAUUUGAUAGUAGGAAACAUUCGUAGAUGUUCUUGGUACUAUAGUUUUCUCUUAGAUGAUUAAAUAUAUUUGGAACUUUACGGUGAAAAUUUUUAUUAAAUUUUUAGAUUUGGUAUUAAAUUUUUAGAUUUGGAGUAUCUAUUAUUAUUCAUAUUUGUUUUACAUGCAUAUGUUUGUUGUUAGACAUGAUUUCUGUUACUAGUGUAGAUUUUAAUAUUUAAUGAAAUUUUGAAUUGUUUUAUAAAAAAAAAUUUAUGAAUCUAAUCGUUAGAACAACUUCUGCUAUACUGUUCACAAAAAUGUCCGUUCUUAAAAGCAUUGCAAAAAUUUUAUUGUGAUUUUCUCACUUUUAAAACAGUAAAAUCACCGCAAUGAGUUGUUUCCACUUUCCAGCCAUUGAAAUUGUGAUCUUCGGGGAAAUUCAACCACUCGAAGUCUGCAACAUAUCCAGAGAAAACCCACUUCAAAAUGCGGGGAUCCAAGAUAUAUUUUGGACUAUUAAUUUCAGACUCCUCGCUUGAGGUUUUUAAUAUAUUUUAUUGUCCUCCCUAAAGUUUUGAAAAUAUUAUUAACCUCCUUGAAACUCUAAUUUUCUUGUAACCAUUCAACUCAAUUUAGAAAGAGACACAAUAAAAAAAUGAUUCCAGGAGAGAGAAGAUUUUGUAAUUUAACAAGUGCCCCUUAACUAUUGUUCACCAUAAACAAGAUAAAAUAAGCCAAAUUAAUUUUUUUUUUCACUGUAUGCAUGAUCCAACUCAUUCUUUUCACUUUCUAGUCUAUUAUUAGCUAUAAUCAACAAGAAAUUUUCAUCAUCCGCUACUAAAAAAUAAUAGCUUUCAAAGUUUAACAAAAGAAAACUCUUUUCUCUUAUCUUAAGAUGUUGUUAUUACCAGUGGCGGAGCCAGAAAAAAAUCUCAGUGGGGGCAAAAUAACACUAAAAUUUUUUAUCUGCUCUUUUUCUAGCUUUUUAAGAAAAAAAAUUCACCAACAAGUACAAAUGAUAUAUAUAUUCCAUGAAAAACAUAAAAAGACAAACUCAAAAUUAUUAAUGUAAUAAUAAUUUUAUUUCAAAAACAAACUAAACUAUUUACAAUUGUUCACGACGAGUUUUCAUAUUUUGAUAACGGUUUACGACUUUCUUAUUUUGAACUUCACGAAGUAUAUUUUUCUCAAUAUAAGUAACUAAACAAUCAUUCAUCCAAGUAUCUCCCAUUUUAUUUAAUAACCGAUACUUCACUAUAUUCAUAGCUGAAAAAACCCUUUCUACUGUAACUGUAGCAACAGGCAAAAUCAAAGCCAACUUUAAGAGCAUAUAAACCAAUGGAUACACAAUAUCUCUCUUAGUCUCCACCAACCUUUGAGCUAGAUCAGAGACUUUUCUUAAAUCGAGAAAUUCCUUAGCUGAUUUCAAGUCAUUAAUAUAAGUAUCCAAUUCAGUGUCAAGUGCAAGAAUAUCCAACUUAGAAUAUCCAAUUUAGUGUGGGACGGCAGAUGGGAUGUGCUUAUGAGCAAAGUUCAGUGCGGAUAGAUUUGUGGCUCUGUUGGGGGGAAAAUGGGAAACCAGAGGAGUAAUAAAUGAUGGAGGAAAGGGAAAUUGGAAAGUGGGGACAAAGGAAGUAAAUGAUGGAUUAAUAAAGAGAGACCGUCGGUUGUGGGGGGAAAAUUGGGGACAGAGGAGGAAAGGAAGUUUGGGGAGUGGGGGCACACUCAAAAUUAUGUUAAAAUUGUAUAAAUAUUAUAAGAAUUUAAGGGGGACAGUGGGGGCCAUGCCCCCAAUGCCCCCACCUUAAAUCCGUCCCUGGUUAUUACCACAAUUUUGAGAGGAAUUAGACCCCGCCUUCAAGCCUCUCAAACCCCUAGUUUUGACUUUUUAACCAGUAUCUCUGUCCAAGCAAGCUUCUCAUGUCUUACUCCUAUUAUUUGUCAAGCAUAUCAAUUAAAAAAAGGGUGCCUAGUAUUUGGCACUCGUUUCAAUUAGGCGCCCUUUUCAAUGAUAAAUUGGUUAUGUUUUCACAUUUCAAAUUAUGACUAAUGCAAUGAACAAAUGACUUAAUUUUUUUCUAUGGACAAAACUGCGUAAACCAACUAAGUUGUAAAGGUAGCAGAGUCAAUGAUGUAGGCACUGGAUCCCAAAUAACUAACGUGGAGGUAAGUAAUGUUUCUACAAUUUUAGAAGACAUUAUGAAAUGGUCAAAACCUCGAUGGCAGUUUCUAAAAUUAUCCCAAUAAUAUAAGGAAAAGGGAAUAUUGACCCAAAAUAAUCCUUUCCAAGUUGUGGCUUAUAUCACAUGAAAUACUUUAUGUCACGGUUGCAUAACAUAGUUGUAUCACCGUCCAAUAGGCCACGAUUGUAUCUCAACUUCCAGCGGAACUGGCUAUGCUCUAAUUUCUGCAGUUUCAUGGAAAAUUUGAGGUUAAUUAAUUACACUUUGCCCCUCUAAAUUGGGUCUUAGAAACACUUUUCCCUCCCAACUACUUUAAAUAUGUACACUUCAGCACCUACUAUGAUCAAUCAAAGAAUAGAGAUAAUCUUUUGUUUAGAAAUUUCAAUGAUAAUGACAUUAAAGGCCACCGACAAUGGCUGUAUGAACAAUAUGUUACCCUUUACAUGAGUACCCUUUACACCGACAAUGCUGAAGUGACAUGUAUGCAAAGCGCCUCUCUCUCUAGGUGGAUGCAGCAAUAUAUGAUCAGAAGAUGCCGAGAGAAAAGUCUUGAAUAUUCGCAUAUGACCAAACCACCUUAAGCUAUGUUUUCUCUUUUUUCAGAUACCGUUUCAAUACGCAAACCUACCAUUAUAAUGAGAAUAAAUGUCAAUGCAUGCGACAGAUUGAUGCAUAGAUUUUAGAGUUUCAUGCAGUGGUGGAGCUAGGAUAACUUUCCAGUGAGGGCACAAAUGAUAGAAAAAUAUUUUAAUUUUGCGAGAAGUACUUAAUACAAUAAUAAUAUUUACAAAUCAAAUAGCAUAUGCAUUCAAUAAAUAUGCAAAACAUGCAAGGAACCUCUUAAUGCGCUAUGACUGAAAAGACAAAAUCUUUUAGCAUAACAAAUCCAUUCGUAGGCUACGAAUCCUUAAAAUGUAGCUAGUAUUAGUACUGCAUUCAUAAUAAAGGGGAUGUAUUAUGUUUGUUAUUAUUAUUUUUAAAAUCUUUUCUUGUAAAUGAUGAGAUUUAAGAAAUCAGGAGGGAUUAGAGGGAUUAGAAGCCAGAGCCUCCUCUAAGUUCUAGGGGUAUUUUAUUUGUUAUUUAUUUUUUCACUGUCUAUAACUAUAGAAUUACUUGCAAAUAUACGAGUUGAUUUUUACUAUAGAAUAAAAACAAAAUUUUUCUUAAACUUAAUACCUUAAAUGAACAAGUUCAUUUGGUCAAAGGGGGCUCGCUUACACAUGAGUGGGGUUAAAAAACAUUCUUUGAACUUUUUCAUAUACAAAACUAACUUGUUGCUUUGGCCAAUAGGGACACAUGGUAUUCGUAUGUACGCCCUAAAGAUUAGGAUUUUUUUUAUACAAUUUAAUUAUUUAUAUUUAUUGAAUGGCAUUUGUCUUAUUAAUUAUCUCGAUAUUUCAAUUAGUAUAAACGAUACAUACAUUAAUGUAAUAAUAAAGUAUCAUAAUUAUGACAAAUAUUAACUGGGAUUUAUUUUAAAGAUUUAUAUUUAUAGUAUUAAUAAAUGAGAAACUAUUAAUACAAAUAGAUUUUUUUUUUAUCUGCCAAUCAUAUUUGGCAUGUGGAUUUCGAUGCCUAUUUUAUUAAUAAUGAAAUUAGGAAAAAGUACAACGAAGGAGGGGGACAUAAAGCCUUUACCUCCUGAUAUAGAAUCUAAAAUUACAUAUACCUAUCUUAUCUAAACAAAAUAAAUCCUUAGCUAAUGAAGAAAAAUCAGAACUCAAUUUGUAAACGUCAAAUAUCCCAUGUUGAAUCCAAGAAGCUACCAAAGCUUCUGCAACAUCAUUUGCCUCACGGAAACAGUGGAACACUACGGAUCCCUCUUAACUGUUGCCCGAAUGUCUGCCGGAAUCUGAAACCUUCCUUCCAAUACCCCAACUAGAACCGGGGAGUCUAGUUCCAAACACACCUGUGAUUUUCCAUAUUUCUAGCAAAGCUGAAGACCAACUAAAAGUCUAAAAGAGCACGCGCCUCCGCUUGUAAAGAAUUUGUCUUGCCAAAGAAAUCUGAAAAUGCACCGAAUUCAAUCCUUACAGUUCCUCCUCCACUACCAUGGUUCGCUAUCACGGGUCACGGUCACAUUGCGGUCUCGAUUAUUCCACAUCCGUUGUGGCAUAUCGGUUGAAUAUCGGGUGAUACACACAUUAUAGCACAUGAAAGUUUCCAAAAAUUUUUAAAAAAUUACUAAAAUUAGAAAAAUACCAAAAAAGGCAUAAUUUAAAAAAUAUCUGAGUUGACUAGAAUAUAUCAACCGGUGUCAUGCAUCACAAAUUCAAAUCGGCCAAUAACGACCGAGUCAGAGCGAGUCAUCAUGGAUAUAGUAAUAUCCACAAUUCGGGGAUCGGUAUCGUAUCUGUCCCCUCCGUUCCGGUUACGACUAGGCCGAUAUGUACAUGGUUCGAAGACUCGGCCGAGUCGUCUCCGUCUCGGCCUAGUCCGAGACGAGACCGCAACGAAACGUUUCCGAGAUACGUGACAGGCCGAGACGUCACCGUGAAGGAUUGAAACAGCCGAAUCACACCGAUGCAUUGGUUAAUCCAAAUGGCAUGACUAAGAAUUCAUAAUUCCCAUACCUUGUCUUAAAUAGACUCUUAGGAAUAUCCCCUUCUUUGAUUUUCAAUUGAUGAUAUUCAGACCUCAACUCAAUUAUAGAAAAUACCUUAGCACCUUUCAGUUGAUCAAAUAAAUCGUCAAUUCUAGGGAGUGGGUACUUAUUUUUUACCGUAAUUUUAUUUAAUUCUCGAUAAUCUAUAUACAGUCUCAUUCUCCCAUAUUUCUUUUUAACAAAAAGCACAGGUACUCCCCAAGGUGACACACUCGGCCGAAUAAAUUUCUUAUCAAGUAAUUACUGAGGUUGGUUUUUUAACUCUUUUAAUUCUGUUGGGGCCAUUCAAUGGGGUGGCUUAGAAAUGGGUACUGCUUCAGGUACCAAAUUGAUCUCAAACUCUGUUUCCCAAUCAGGGUAUCCCAGGUAGUUCAUCAGGGAAAACAUUUGAAAACUCUUUAACUACUAGUAUAUUUUCUAAGGAAAUUCCAUUCUCUUUAGUGUCUACCACAUAGGCAGAUAACUUUCUGCACCUUUUCUUAAUGCCCUAAAUGCUUGUGAUGUAGUCAACAAUAACUGCCCAUGUAUUUUCUUCUUAUUUUCUAAAUUCCCUUGAAAAAAAAACUCGUCUUUAGUAGGAUCAUUAAAAAUCACUUUUUUCUCCUACAAUCAACAUAUGCAUGGUUUCUAUCUAACCAAUCCUUCCCUAAAAUGACAUCAAAGUCACUCAUAUUGAUUUCGACAAAAUUGGCUUGUAAUGUUCUACCCUCAAUUUCAACCAAACAAUUGUUGUAUUUUAGGUGAGACACAAGAUCCCUAUCACCAGGAGCAAACAUACAAUAUGGAUUAUCUAACUAUUUAGGUUGCACGUUCAAGGUUUUAGCAAACUUUCUAGCCACAAAAGAAUGGGUAGCACCACAAGAAAAGAGCACAUAGGUAGGCGUAGAGUUUACAAGAAGUGUACUUGUGACAACGUCAUUAGAUCCUUCUACCUCAAAGUCAGUCAUCGCAUGUACCCUUGCAUUGAUUCUUGGUAAAACUAACUAUGUAGGUGGUAUAUAUAAUACCAAUUAUGAGGUAGUAAAACUAUCUUGUUGCUUCAAGACAAUGAUUAACUUGGUUGUUUAGACCUUUAAAUUGCAACAUGUUAAGGAAGUAACUCCCUUAUUCACUUGGAUAUUGUUUUCACAAAUAUACAAGAAUACUCAUAUCAAGCCCUUAUCUAUAUGCAUGAUAAACUAACUUUGCAUAAGUUCAUGAAAUUCAAUGAGUUGUAGGCUUGUUUCCAUCUAAAUCCACCUCCUACUAACGUGAAAAUGUAAUAUAGAGUUCAUAUACUUUAAACUACACAUGUAAGGCAAGCUUAAGUGCACAAACACAUGCUUGAAUGAUUAUAGUUGGUGAUCAAUUUAACUACAAGUAUGAGAUGCAAAUAUAUGAACUAACAAGUUCACAAAUGACCAAAAAUCAACUUAAGUUAUCACAUAGUCAAGAAACUACAAGUUCAUCGCUUCCCUAGUAUGUAAGAGUUUAGCUAAGCAUGGAGUUGAAGCUCAUAAAACUCUUGACAUGAAACAUGAAAUAAACAAGAAAGUAAAGAGUAAAGUUUGAUGAAAUCUUAUUCAAUUGAAUGAAACAAGAUCUUCAAGCUUUACUUUUACACCCUUGAUCUUCAAUUUCACAACAACAUAGUUGUUUUUCUACAAGGAAAAGCUCACCUUUUGCUCUCACAACUUUGUGUUCUAUUUUCUAAGCUACAACUAUUUAGUUUUCUCUACCCUUCUCUCCUUUUCUAAUCAAUGAGAUACAAGGGAUAUUUAUAGAUGUUUUUGGAAGAGAAAAUGUUCUCAUAAUGUGGUCAUAAAGUUGUCCUUAACUUUUCCAAGACAAAUCUUGGUAGAUCUAGCCGUUUUUUUUUCCAAAAAAAUUGGUCAAAAAACUUUUGUGAAAUGUCCACAACUUGCUUUGCACCUGCAGUAGGUUUGCACUAUUUUGCUCAAUCUUCAAUAUUGUUCUAUUUUUGGACCAAAUUUUAACUGCAAUUUCCUCAAUGAUAGAAGCCAAAUCAGCUCUUUCACAAAACAUAAAAAUUGUAGUCCUUUGAGUUAUCUUUUGAAUGCAUCAAGAAUCAUCCCAUUUUGAUGUCUAUAGGUACGUAAAUGACCAAAACAACCCUCACUGUUCAAUCCCCUGUUUCCGCUUUUGAAAGCAAAAAUGCAUGAUGGUAUUUCGACCUUUUGGCCAAGAAAAUGCAUGAACUGAAUUUUGAUAUCUUCACAAGAAUUGUAGAUCUAUGUAUUAGCUUCAUCAUGGUUUAAGAACCAUCUCAAUCUAAUAUUUGUAACUCAAGAUAUAGUCAAAAUACCAAAAGAUAUUAAAACAGCAAACUUUUCUUCUUCUUUUUUUGUACUUGGUUGCAUCUCAUCUUAUGAAAUUUUGCACUUCAUGCUCAUUUUAAAUCACUUCAAAUCAUCAAUAAUCAUCCAAAUAUAGUUUCAAUUCACUCCAUUUGAUGAUUGAGCCAUUAGACCUACAAAAAUAUGAAAUUUUUACCACUUUAAUCCAUAGAAAUACAAUCUUUCACAAUUUGACCAUAAAAUGCAAAUUUCACUAGAAACCUAGUUAUUUAACUAUAAAAUGACUAAAACAUACCAAUACAUAAAUAAUAAAACACAUUUAAAACAUGCAAAAUACACACUUAUCAAUAUUCUUACACACAGCCAAGGUUAAUCAUUGAAAUCAUUAGUCCAAAUUAUUUUUGCUUGUGAAUCAUCAAAAUCAAGAAUUGAUCAACUUAAAUCUUCAAACCCGAUGAGAUUUUUGCCUUGUAUCCAAAAUACAUAUCCCAACAUUAGAGCCUUGGACCUCUCUGUCAACAUGCAUGAGAUUUUUAAGCAUUACACCACAUUUGAACUUGUUUUUAAAUUUAUGAUGGUGUUAUAUUAAAACUAUAUUAUCUAAUUAUGAGUACAAAUGUAGUACGGAAUAAAGUUUUACAUCAUUUUGUAUAAGAGUUGAUAUUUGAAAUUCUUUUAUCUUGAUUGUUUGGCCAUUCCAAGUUUAUAAAGUAGUCAACUUUCCCCACUUUAAUGGUCUGGGUAAAUAUGAUCGGUGGUGAAUGUUGAGGAAUAGUUGGAUCAUUUACCCAAACUAGUUACAAUUGUGCGAAACGUACUUAUUAUCAAAUAAGUCAAUUGUUACUUCUCUAAUGCAAGCCACUUCAUUCCAAACUUUUUGUGUUUUCCGUGGGGAAAUGGACUCUUCCUUGGCUCAAUUUAUUUUUCAUUCUUCUACAAUUGUUAGAUUAAUUUCGGUUUGCCGGAAGAUACCCCCGGCGAAUUUUUGCAAAUUAAAUACAGAUGCGAGUGUAGUAAAUGGUAGGGUGUCAGGUGGUGGUUUGGUGUGUGAUCACAGAGGUAACUUGGUUUUUGGUUUCUAUAAAGAGUUUGGGGAAGCUGAGGUGUUGGAGGCAGAGAUUCAUGCAUUAUUAUUUGGUCUUCAAUUGUGUAGUGAAAGAAAUGUCCAGAAUUUACAAGUUAAGGUUGAUUCUUCUUUGUUGUUUAUUUGAUUGUUUCGGGGCAGUGUCUAAAUGGCCAUUGUGCAAUUUUCUUCGUCAAAUUAGAGAGCUUUGGCAGUCACUUUCUGCGUCAGUUAGUCUUGUUAAAUUCCAUGGCGGCUAGGCUUGCCAUGCUUCAUCUUCAUUCUGAUUCGCUUUUUACUUCUAUUCAACAACUUCCUUCAGCGGUUAAGGCUAGCUUGAUUUUAGAUGGUAGGGAAUUUUUGCAUGUGCAGAAAUAAAUAAAUUGUAACUUGUACGGGAGGAAUACUCCUAAUUUUUGUUUUCAUAAAUGUUCUUAGGUCUUUUCAGGCCCUUCUUAGACUCUUUAUAUUUUUAUUUUAUGAUUAAUAAAAAUUAAAGGUUGGCAUCCCUCCCCUGUGUAUGGAAUUUGGCAAUAAAAAAAAUCAAAUAAGUUAAUUGUCGCUUCUCUAAUGCCAGUCACUUCAUUUCACACAAUUUUGUUUUCUUAAUCUAUAUUUUCCUAAUUUGGAUCACACUUCUUCCCUAUUAUAUGGUCGUAAAUUAAUUUAAUUCCAAUGAAGUUUUGAACAUGUUGCCUACAAAGUUGCAUAUGAGAAUUUGCCUUAUUUUAGUCAAUUUUGAGGACUUUCCGUGUUCAUUGAGUUCAAAUUUCACAAAAUGGAAAAAAAAAAAAAAAAGACGCAAGGAAAAAGAAAACUUAUCAGGUAAGAGCCUGCAAUGAUAAUACAUACAUUAGAAGAAAAACCGUACCACCUUCUCAAGCAUUAUAAGAGUAAACUAUGCUUUAAUUGAAUGCACCAAUUAUUGCAACUAGAACGGCACCCACCACAACUACGUGUGACUAAAUGCUGUGAAAGACAUACUCAAUGCCGCAAUAAAGUCGUCACAAUUUGGUCCCGUCAUUUUUGGUUUACUCCCUAAACUUUUACCAACUCCGAAGUUUAAUUAAUAAGUUUAGCUAUUCACUGUUACUAUUAACUGAAUUGUAAGUCUACAUUGUAGAAGAUUAGAAUAGCAAAUCAAAGUGCGAAAGGGAAAACAGCAGAAAGCCUAACAAGCAAAAACAGAAAAAAGCAUCGACUUUCAAAGUAAAAUUAGUUAUAGCAGAGUUAAUGGAUAUAGUAAUGGUUGAUCUUCAGCUAUGUAUUUAAGAAAAAGAAGCAAUUAUGCAAUACAUUAUAACAAUUCAGAUCUGACAAACAAUUAUGGAAUACUAUCUAUUACAUCUUCAAGAAACAACUUCAAGGAAGCAUAGGAUGAUCCUCCUUCAUUAGGAGCCAACCUGCUCUUCUCCUUCAUUUCCUUCACCUUCUCUUUGAUUUCCUUCUCAGGAUCCAUCAGAUGUUUAAUCCCUCUUUCAAUCACAUCUGCACUCAAAAUCUCACUGCUCACACCCAGUACGAAAUCCCUUUUGAAAUCUAUUUUGAUCUCCACUGCCAUUGCCAAGUCCUUCACCAUUAGGAAUGCAUUCUGCUGCUGCUCUGCAUUAAGCGGCCAAGUUGCCACUGGCACACCGUACCAAACGCUUUCCAAUAUUGAGUUCCAACCACAGUGAGAAACAAAGCCCCCUACAGCAGGAUGGGAUAGAACUGCCGCCUGUGGUGCCCAUCCAAUAACUUUUCCAACGGCUGCAGUUCGCUGCAAGAACCCUUCUGGCAAGACUUCAUCCAGGUUCUCAUACUCACUUGGAAACUCAAAAUUUUCUUUAGGUGAAGGCCUUCUCAAUGACCAGAGGAAUCGAUAUCCACUGCGCUCGAGUGCAUAGGCAAUUUCCUUCACUUGGUCACCAUCAAAACUACCUCCACUACCAAAGCAAAGGAACACAACAGAACAUUCUGGCUGAAGAUCUAGCCAUUUCAUAAUGAUCUCAGUUUCUUGAUUUUGACUGUUGCCUCCCUUCAGAUUCAAUAGUGGCCCUACUGCAUAUACUGGUGGGAUGGUUUUAUCAUUGCUCAAGGCGUGAAUCGCAUGGCAUUCUAGCUCAAGGAAAGUGUUAAUUAUGAUUCCCUUGGCCUUCCUGUAUCCUUUUGCCUGAUCGAGGAGCAUGUCGCCACCUCCAUCCUUGUCAAAGAAUGGAGAUGACAAAAGUUUAGCUGGAACAGGAUUGAUGUAAGUAGGCACAGCUAAUUCAACGUCUGAAUUCUCGUAAUGGCUCACAUCUUCAUUGAGAUCAUCUCUCAGACUUUGCAACUGGAAUAAAAGGCCAAGCGUUGCAGCACCAGCUGGGUGAAAUAUAUAGGAAGGAACCCCAAAUUCAUUGGCUACAUCAAUCAAAGAGGUGCAAAGCAUGUCUAUGACGAUCCCACCAAGAUGAGACGAAACAGAAUUGGAUAUUUCAGCAAGAACCUCCCUCACACAACUUUUAUGGUUGUCAAUAAAUCGAAACAGAAUCGAAAGAAAAGAUGACAAUUGAGAAGAAGGCUCUUCUUUCAUGGGCUCAAGGUACCUUAUGUGCAAAUUCGGAGAUUCUAACAACGAAUUUGUGUAGCUACUGACUUUUGUAUCAUAGGGCAGCUUC
rnacentral:lncRNA from 1 species